rnacentral:rRNA from 1 species
UACGGAGGGGGCUAGCGUUGUUCGGAAUUACUGGGCGUAAAGCGCGCGUAGGCGGACCUGCAAGUCGGGGGUGAAAGCCCGAGGCUCAACCUCGGAACUGCCUUCGAUACUGCGGGUCUCGAGUCCGGGAGAGGUGAGUGGAAUUCCUAGUGUAGAGGUGAAAUUCGUAGAUAUUAGGAAGAACACCAGUGGCGAAGGCGGCUCACUGGCUCGGUACUGACGCUGAGGCGCGAAAGCGUGAGGAGCAAACAGG